rnacentral:lncRNA from 1 species
UCCCACACUCCUAAUCAUAUGAGCUAAUAUGUUGCACACUCAAUCUUUGGAAGAUAUAUAUAAAAAACACAUAAAAAUAGAUAGAUUAUCUUUCCAUUAGGUUGAGCGAUCUUAUUUGACAAAUGUUUUAAAUGCUACACUCAUGAUCUUAUUAUCCAUCAACUUUGUCUUGCUCGCUAUGCUUAAGGUUAGAGAAGAACAAAUACACUUUUGGUUCUGUUGGUGUUUUCCACCAACAGGAUCCAUGCACUUGAUCUCUGCUUGUCUCUAUGAGCAGGUACAUUUCGAGCAAAACAUGGAGGAGUUUUACAACUCCCAGACUCCACCAAGUGAAGGACCUAGAUCUACGAGCGCAAACACAUGAGCAGGAUGCUACAAACGCCGCACUUCGAACUGCUGGGCAAACAAAGAACAUGGGUGACACUGUAUCAAGAAGUGCAUACGUCAAGGUCCACACCUGAAUCAAAUGACGCACCUAAAGAAUGAACACGGUGAGAAGUCUUGUUCAGAAGACUUAAAACAUUGAACCCUCACCAAAAGGUAAAAUCGGUAGUUAUCCAUAUUCAUCCUUUCUGCAUUCUCUUUUCCCUUAAAUUAUUUACUUUCCUUAAAUAGCUUGUUAGUUAAUCAUGCUAUCUUGAAAAGAAAAUAAAAAUGUUAGAAACAGCAAGCCCCAUGUGAGUAUGCUCGUGACAUAAAACCCAUAAGUACAUUCACUAUGGCGACGUAAAAAUAAAAUAAAUAUAUUCCUGUCCCAUAAAAAUGAAAAUAUAAAAAUAAAUUUAUGAUCCUACCAAAGAGAGUAAUAUUUAUUAGAGGAAGCUCAACAUGAUAAAGGCAAAGAGAUUUUAUGCUAACACUUAACUAGUUCCACAAAGCUUUGUUGUCUAUUGGAGCUCCACAGAAUUCAAGGAUCAAAGAAGACUAGCAGACGGAAGACAUCCUAAUCGCUGUCAGGGUACUACCGACAUUCAAAUACACCUCGGCCACCUGCUAGCUACGUCAGAAAAAAUUACGUCAAAAUCUAGCUUGGGGGAGAGCACCCCCAUUUAUCCAGCUAAGUGUUUUUACUCAUGUUUAUACUUUACUAAAAUAAUAAAAAGAUGCAUAAUCAUAAAAACCCAAAAUAAAGAUUUUGUGCUUAUAUAUAUAUCUUUGCUUAGUUUGCUAAAUAAAUAAAUAAAUAAAGUUUGCUAGGAACCCUCAUGAUAAGCUCUCACAUGGAAAUGAUGAAUAGUUGCUCUGCCAUGACUAGUCCUCAAAAUUGAAUUCUCUCUCAAGUUUAGGCAUGAUUGUUAUGAAUUAAGAUUUGCUCUAAACCUAAACUUGUGGGAAGAGUACUUGAUCUAAAGUCUAAGUCGUUAACGGAUAUGAUAUGGGAAGGUUGAGCUGUUGUUUAUCUGUUCCUAGAGAUGCUAGAAUUCUGGAGAAUUUUAUCUUUGAAAAUCUUUAAAAUGUUGCAUGAUGAGUUCCUGUAUGAUGAGAGUUUAAAAUCCUACCACAGCCAUAUAUACAUGCUUAUUAGACUAUGAACCAUACAUUUACUUUUUACUACUUAUGAGCAUUGAGUGCGGUCAAGCUGUGUAGACCCUUAGGAGCUUGUUAUGCGGUUAAAAUCAAGAUUCACUUGCACGUUAACUCAUACAUGCUGCUUCUACUCCGGAAGUACGCAUCCACAUACAUCCACUCAAUUCCAUCUCCAGAUUCACCCAGAAUUAUUCUACUCCUAUCCGGGAGAGAAUAGCCAAAAACAUUAUCCUAUCCCUGUUAUUCCCCAUGAAAUAAAUUCUCAAGAUAUUUUGGUUACUACCACUUGCUAUAUUAUUCCAGGAGGGUGAGUGCUCUGAAAAAAGUGAAUACGAGGAAAUAAAAAGGGGCAAGUGCCCGGAACAUCGAAAAAAAGAAAAAGUGAGACGAGAGGUAAAAAUGGACAAGUGUCGGACAGUAGAAUUAGGGGUACAAGAUACCCACCGGAGAGGAAAGAAAAAAAAGAAAAAGAAAAAGUAGAGCAUCUCAUUCUCCUCAAAGAGUCUCAAAAGAGCAAGAACGGUAUGUAUCCUCUCAAAAGAGCAAAAAAUAGAAUUAGACUUUCACCAUUGUUAUCACCAUCAUCACCAUACACCAUUCAUUCGCCACACAUGCACAUCUUGAUUUGACUUAUUGACUUGUUUCUUAGGAUCCAUGGUUUGACUAUGCAAUAAAUGUCUUGUAAGUAUGUAUACUUUAUCUCCCACCUAUGAGCUCCAGAUAUCUAGCCUUAUCUUAGUAGGGUGAGAGAGAAGGCAAUGUCACUAUGCCUCAUACGACAAAUACCACAUACUUUGAGAGAAGGCAUAUACCAUCACUGCCUUGGUAAAGAUCUAGAAAUAGCACAAAAGAAAGAAUUAAGAGAGUCAUACAAGGAAUCUCUGAGUUUUAUUUCAAAAAUCUGCAAAAAAACUCCAGAGCUAUAGUUGAUCAAAGAACAAGAGACAUGGUGCUUGACUUGACCAUUCUAUCUUUUAACUGCUCAAGACAUAAGUGACGGUUGCAAGACCCAUGGUGAAAGGUAAAAUGAGUAAGUUUUAAGUCUCAACAGCUUACCCUAACCCAGAUAUUAGAUCUUGUUUGAACGCAUGUGUACCUUUAAGGCAUGAAACCACUGCACAAACUCUUGAGUCCAUCCUUGCUCAGGGACGAGCAAGAGGUAAGCUUGGGGGAGUUUGUUGACGGUCCUUAAGUAUCAAAUUUAGUCAUCAAAUAAAUGAAGAAAAGGAUCCAAAUGCAACCAACACCUAGACUUAGGGUUUUAUCUGACAGAAUUCCACAAGUUUUGGUGUUUGUCUAUUUCUGCAGGGGGUUAUCACGAAAUAUAAAGAAAAGGCCCACACGUUGGGUUUACAUAGAGAUAUUAACGUGCCGUGCAAUUAUCUAUCAUCUAGAAGACUCCAGAAGCCACGGGAACGAACGGGAAGCCGAGCGGGCUCGGGGGCAGGGCGCCCGCCCUCCCCCCUUGGGCGCCCGCCCAGCUACAGGAACCAAUCAGAACCAACCUCGCGGAUUAUGCUCCACCGACCUAAAGGAUCAAGGAAAACCGUGCGAUUAAUGUCGGUUUGAUCCGACGGCCCGUAUUCAUUUGGAGGGACUAUAUAAGCAGACCCUCUGGCCCCUAGAGGAGACACCCCUUGAUCCCUAUUCAUUAUUCAUAGACAGAGCAAAAGCUAGGGUUUGGAGAAGAGAGCUCUCCUCUCUUGUCUAAACUAGAGUAGAUCUUGAUAGUAGCGAGACGGAGAGAGAUGGAGAAUUGGAGGAGAGGCCGGCCUGUCGGUUCUUCCUCCGGUUGUACUUCGCCAUGAUCAAGCUCUAAUCAAGCUUGCUCAUGGGAUGACUUUGGUAAUCUACUUCUAUUUCAUUAUGCAAUUACUAUCCAUGUAUGUUCUGGUUCACAACUGUUUUGAGUACUUUAAUCUAUAGGACGCUAUAGGUGAGAGUUGUAGUAUAGGUGUAAGCGUGGUGCUUAGACCUAGAUUACUUGUGGAUAUCCCGUGUCUAGCCGGGUCGUAUGGUAGGCCGCGUAGGUGACAGUUACGUUGGUCCCCUGUAGUCCACCUCCUGUUAGCAGGACUGGUAGGGUUUAUCGGCCUAUGGAUAGGCAACCUUUGUGGUGUAUUCUUAUCACGUGGUUCGUCCCAGACAUAGACAUACCCCUUUGAAGUAGAGAAACCAUAGUUAUCCUCUCUAUUCUCCUACCAUCGCCCAUAUACUAGAUUGCUCUACUCUAUAUUCCCCCAUUAUCAUUUUACCUUUAAUAUUGUUCUUAUUCAAUUCUACCAUCUUUCCUAUUUACACCUAUCUAUCUAUCUUGGUUAAGUUAGAGCAUAGUUGGUUCUCCCGUUUCCCUAUGGAUACGAUUAAACUUUUAACCGGGUAAAAGCUACGACGGUGUCCGUGCGCUUGCGGAUUUAUCUGUGUGCGUAUAAAUACCAUAGUACACUCUAGUGCCAUGCUGGGGAUGACAACCUAGUAUUCAAGUGGUGUUAGCAAGUGUCAACAACCAUACACCUUUCAUUCGCCACACAUGCACAUCUUGAUAUUGACUUAUUGACUUGUUUCUCUGGAUCCAUGGUUUGACUUUGCAAUAAAUGUCUUGUAAGUAUGUAUACUUUAUUUCCCACCUAUGAGCUCCAGAUAUCAAAGCCUUAUUAGAGUAGGAUGAGAGAGAAGGCAAUGUCACUAUGCCUCGUACCACAAAUACUACAUACUUUGAGAGAAGGCAUAUACCAUCACUGCCUUGGUAAGGAUCCAGAAAUACCAUAAAAGAGAGAAUUGAGAGAGUCAUUCAAGGAAUCUCUGAGUUUUAUUUUGAAAAACCGGCAAAAACUCCAAAGCUAUAGCUGAUCAAGGAUAAGAGACAUGGCGCUUGACUAGACAGUUCUAUCUUUUAACUGCUCAAGACACAAGUGACGGUUGCAAGCCCCAUGGUGAAAGGUAAAAUGAGUAAGUUUUAAAGUCUUAACAGCUUACUCUAACUCAGAGAUGAGACCUUAUUUGAAAGCAUGUGUACCGUCAACAUUCAAAGGCAUUACAGCAACUUCUGAUCCAUCACUGAGUCUAUCCUUGCUCAGGUACAAACAAGAGGUAAGCUUGGGGGAGUUUGUUGACGGUCCUUAAGUAUCAAAUUUAAUCAUCAAAUAAAUAAAUAAAAGGAUCCAAAUGCAACCAACACCUAGACUUAGGGUUUUAUCUGACAGAAUUCCACGAGUUUUGGUGUUUGUCUAUUUCUACAGGGGCUAUCAGGAAAUAUGGAGGAAAGACCCAUAUGUCGGGUUUACAUAGCGAUAUUAACGUGUGCGGCAAUUUUCUAUAAUCUAGAAGACUCCAGAAGCCACGGGAACGAACGGGAGGCCGAGCGGGCCCCGAGGCAGGGCGCUCGCCCUAUUGUCUCGGCCAAUCAGGCCCCGUCUCUUGGAUUAUGCUCCACCGACCUAAAGGAUUAAGGAAAACCAUGCGAUUAAGGUCGGUUUGAUCCGACGGCCCACGUUCAUUUGGAAAGGCUAUAUAAGCAGGCCCCUUGGCCCCUGGAGGAGGCAAUUCUCUUUCUCAAACCCUAAUUCCUUCAUUCAUCCAAGGAGGAGAGUCUCUGAUCAAGCUCUAGAGCCACCACAUCAACUAGAUCUCUAGUUUAGCAUAGCUACAUAGGAUUAGAACUAGAAGGAGUCAAUCUUCGAUUGGUUUCUGGAUCUGUCAAGAGGAUUCUUGGUAAUUCCUCUAUUGUUCUUUAUUUGUUCAUUAUUGUUCUUCCAUAUUAUGAAUAUGACUUUGCUCUAUUUCAAUAUAUUGGUUAUGACUUUGCUCUACUUGUUUAUAUUUGCAAUUAUAUCGUUCUUAGUUUAUCAUGGUAAUAUACUUGGCUUAGUUAGAUUGGAAUUAUAUACAUGUUUAGGAUCAUAUAGCGUUUAUCCAUCGGGUCCAUGGGUAAAUGAUAAGUAUUUUAUAGGCGUGGUGCCUAUACUGUAUUUAUCUGCUAUUGUACCCUAUAUGCUGGAUCGCGGGGUAGUUUGCGGUGGUGACAGGUCCGUUGAUUCUUAUAUAGUCCCCCUCCCGUGUAUAGGGCAGGCAGAGCAACUUUAUUACAGGGGAGUGAUUGCUAUGUUUCUCAUCUUCCUUGAUAAUAUCACUAUGCAUGGGCGUAGUCCUGUCUCGCAAUGAUUGCCAAGUAUAAUUGCACUAACUAUGAUAUGCUAAACUUUAUAGUUAACAAUAACUUAGGAAAUAUUCUUGUAGUUGUUGACACUAAUUUUUGGACACGUAUCUUUUGAUACGCACCUGGAGUUAAUGGAACGUGGACCAGCAGAUGGAGCGAUGGUGACUAGUCUACAGGGGAGUUGCCGAUGAAGGUGGUUGUCGAUGGGGAAAUAACUGAGUAUGACUAAGUCCAGAAGUGGUGACGUAUUCGUGCCGAUGAUCCGUAUCGGUGUUUGCCGAUGGCUGUAACAUGUAGUAUGCUGAUGACUCUGAAGAAAAAUGCGGAGGUUGCCGAUUGAUUCAUAGCAGUGUCCCGAUCGGUUACAGAGGAUGGUUUAAUGUUUUUCUUUAGUUACUAGAGUUCGUUUUGUGUACGAAUUUUUUUUAGUUUGGAAUUCUAGUUCUAGUCGUAUCUGGUUGUAGCUCUUCGGACAGGUUAUAAAUGUAGACCCUAGGGCAAUGUAAUGAGAUAUCUAUCAAUCAAUCAAACACAAGUUUUUACUCAUAUUCCAGCAUCUACUUUUUUCGACGACUUCGUCAUAUUUUCCUUUUAUUAUGAGUUCUUAGGAAUUCGUCGAGUCAAUCAAGUUCCGCGUGAGCACCUCUUGGCCGUGACAUCCGGGCGCAUCGCUGUUGUUGGGACCAAAGUGUUCGAGUUACCACCUUUGUCGAUUGUAAGGUCAAAUCGGCUGGCACGCCUUAACGUUUGGAUCGGGUAUUAGCCCUUUGUGUUUGUAGAUCAGCUUUUGCAUCAACACAUCUUUUGGCACGCUCGGUGGGACAUAUUCAAGAUCAAGAUCAACAUGUCAAACACCGAUUUCGACUUGGAGAACGUCAUCCCGGUGACGGAGGCCAAUCUCAGAGAUGAGCAGAAGCAAGCUAUGGCAAAAUCCAUGGAGGACAUAACUUGAAAUCUUUCACUAUCAACAGAAGUGGCGAAGUAAUCCAAAAAUAAGCAUUGCCGGCGCCUCGGCACAUAACUUUUGAAGACAAUCCUGGUAAAUUGCAAGAGAUGGUGGAUGGUGUUGUCAACCGUGCUCUGAUCAAUCAAGCUAGCGUACUAUCCGACACGGUUUUCAAUGCGGUGGCUAGAACUUUUAAGGAAGGACAAUUGCCACCAAAUUAUGUGGGUCCUACCUAUCAUCACCCAGGGUCAUCAUUGGUUAUGGCUCCAUCGGCUACUACAGCCGUUGCGGGUACAGAAGCUACUUCUCCUCCAAGCACAUUAGGGAUCACUAAUGCGUAAUCUACACCGAUGACGACCAAUCCAUCAACAUCAGACAGGCAAAUCAAGCUUGCCACAGAUCUAUUGACAUCGGCAAUGUCAGGAUCUAUUCCUCCCAACUGGUGGGGUUAUGGUAUGCAUCCGGAAUUGAUGGUAAAAACUCCUAGAACAUCUCAAGUGGCUGACGUGACAGGCAAGGCUCCUAUGGCAUCGGCACCUCCAAAUCCACCGAUGAAUCAGAGUCCUCAGUACACUACAACUACUACUGCAAGACCUUACACUGGGAAUUCUCAGGCACCAACGUUCCAGAUGCCUAACGCAUCGGCAGAUCCAAUGCCGACGCAUCAGAGGUUUAUGACACAGCCAGGGUAUGUCAAUUCAAUGAUGAUGCCCAAUUACCAGUCAUCAGCAGGGCCUAUGCCGAUGAAUGCUAACAGUGGAUGGACAGGACAGUUAGUCUUUCCACAGAUGCCUCAGCAGAAUCAUCAGGCUGUAGGGUUUCAACAAGGCCAAAUCCAUCCUGGGUUACAGAAACAAGGGUUAGUCAACCAGCCGAUGAAUCUUGGUCAGCAGAUUGGUGGUCAGAUGGUUAAUCCGAUGUUCCAUGGAGAUCGUGCACCACAGAGACACGUGGAAGCGUAUCAGCAGGUGCCAGAUCCACAACCGCCGCAUCGGCAAGAUGCCGAUGCAUAUUGGGCCGAUAAGAUACCUGAAGUAAUGUGAGACCAAUUUGGGAUAAAACCCAAAGUCAACACCUCCUCUUAUCGGACACUGUAUCCUCCUACAUAUGACUUGAUUCCACUUCCAAACCGGUACAAGGUACCAGAUUUCACUAACUUUUCUGGACAGGAUGAUACAUCAACUAUGGAGCAUGUCAAUAGGUUCAUCAUCCAGUGUGGAGAAGCUGCUAACAGAGAUGAAUUGAGGGUUCGUCUGUUCUCAUCGUCUUUUUCUGGAUCAGCUUUUACUUGGUUUAUUUCGUUACCUCCCAACUCAGUGAUCACUUGGGCCGAUCUAGAGAAACAAUUCCACAAAUACUUCCUUCCUGGAGUUCAUGAAAAGAAGAUCACCGAUUUGGUCAGGCUGAAGCAACGCAAUGAUGAAUCGGUUGAAAGUUUUAUGCAAAGAUUGCGAGAAGUCAAGAAUAAAUGCUAUAGUCUGGUUCUAGAUGAUCGGCAGCUAGCCGAUUUGGCUUUCCAGGGAUUGUUGCCACAUAUCAGAGACAAGUAUGCUUCUCAAGAGUUCGAGAGCCUAAGUCACUUGGUGCAGAGGAUUUCUGACCAAGAUAUCAAACCCUUUGAGCCUAAGAGAGCAUGGAAUAAAAAGGUGUCAUUUGUCGAUGAGGCAGCAAGCUCAGACUCUGAUGAAGAACCAGUUAUUGGCCUAGCAGAGUGGAUAAAAAAUAAGAAGUCGAUGUCUUGCCCUUUUGGGCAUAAGGAACCAGAGAAGUUUGCAUUUGAUAUCACCAAAGCCGAUAGGAUAUUUGACUCUCUGUUUCAGGAAGGGCAAAUUAAGUUAUCACCCAAUCAUGUGAUUCCAUCGGCUGAAGAAUUAAAGAAGAUGAAAUAUUGCAAGUGGCAUAAUGCAACGUCUCACAACACAAAUGAGUGUAAGGUUGUCAGGCAACAGCUGCAAUCGGCUAUAGAAUCUGGGAGAAUCAAGUUUGAUAAUUCUAAAGCUCAGAAGCCGAUGAAGAUCGAUCAACAUCCUUUCCCAACAAAUAUGUUGGAUGCUAAGGGAAAAACCAAGGUCUUGACGUCAGAAGUAGCCGAAAGAAGCACAUCGGUGGAUCCUCAACAUUAGAUUACUACCGAUGAUGCUAAAGGCAAGGGUCUGGUUCAGGAAGGAACCAGCUUAGGAAGGUCUCCCUGAUCUGGCAUUGUGAUAACUCAUAGAAGGCAUUGGGAAACCUGGCAGCAACGUGAAGAUCGGUAUCAGCGCCAAUAGGAGGAUUAUCGUCGGGAAGAAGAAAGACGCCGACCGGAAUGGAAUCGGCAUAAAGAUCAUUGGAAUUGUCCAUUCUUUAUCCACUGUUGGGAAUAGAACAUCAAAUUGCCCACUGUUAGAGACUGCCUUGAGUGCAAUGGUUAUGAUCGAUAUGAUAGACCUAAUCGGCAGUAUUAAAACAAUGAUCGGCGAUUUAAUCGGCCGAUUAGGGGGAGAGCUUUGUUUCAUGAUCGGUUGGGAGGUAGGCUCAGUGUGCAUGACAGACUUGGUGACCGUGUCGGGUACAUUCCUAGGAACCAGGAAGAACUUGAAGAGAUGGCGGAUGCACAAGUUCCCGAUGAAUUCAUAUUUUGUAGGGAUGCUAAUACUUAUCGAGUGGAAUUAAGGGAAAAUCAUCGUCUAUCACUAAGACAGCCGCGAUGGUGUCCAGAAGGGUUAACUAGAACGCAGAAAAGAAGGUUGCAGUGCGAAAGACGAGAAUAUUUGAGCAAAGGAGAGAAUUCUGGCAAAUCUGGAGGUCAACAGUAGCUGGAUCCUAAAGGAAAAGGGCCAUCGGCAGAUGUUAACAUGAUAUUUAUGCUGCCGAUGGAGUUCCUUGCACAAUCCAGUGAUGAUGAAGAGUUGGAUUUUUCCGACCAGAUAGCUCAGUUGGCUCUGGAUCCGAUGACGGCUAUCUUUGAAAAGCCUGCCGACAAUGAAAGGCAGCAUCUUAAAGCUCUAUUCGUCAAAGGAAGGGUUGAUGGACAGCCGAUGACCAAAAUAUUAGUUGAUGGUGGUGCUGCUAUUAAUAUUAUGCCGUAUGCAGUCUAUCGGAAGCUUGGGAAAGGAGAUCGUUGAUUAUUUGAAAGAUCCAUCCAAAAGGGUUGAGAGGCGCGUCAGGUUUCGAGCUACCAAGUAUGUGCUCCUUGAGGAUGAAUUAUAUUAUCGAACUAUAGAUGGAGUUCUUCUCAAAUGCUUAGGAAAUGAUGAUGCCAAAAGUUUGAUGGGUGAGAUCCAUGAAGGAGUGUGUGGAGCACAUCAGUCGGCUUUUAAGAUGAAAUGGAUGAUUAGGAGAAAUGGAUAUUAUUGGCCAACCAUACUCGAAGAUUGCUUUAAAUAUUUCAAAGGAUGUCAAGGAUGUCAAAAGUUUGGCAAUAUUCAAAGGGCACCCGCAUCGGCUAUGAAUCCCAUUAUUAAACCUUGGCCAUUCUGGGGAUGGGCUAUUGAUUUGAUCGGCCAGAUUUAUCCACCAUCAAGCAAAGGGCAUAAAUUCAUCUUAGUUGCCACUGAUUAUUUCACCAAGUGGGUUGAAGCUAUUCCUUUGAAGAAAGUAACAUCAGCCAAUAUGAUUGAUUUUGUGAAAGAGCAUAUUAUUUACCGAUUUGGUAUUCCUCAAACGAUUACUACCGAUCAGGGUACUAUGUUUACAUCAGGAGAGUUUGAUGAAUUUGCAAUCGAUAUGGGAAUUAAAGUAUUGAAUUCUUCUCCUUAUUAUGCUCAAGCCAAUGGGCAGGCCGAGGCAUCUCACAAAGGAAUUAUUAAACUUAUCAAAUGGAAGAUUGAGGAAAAUCCUAGAAGGUGGCAUACAUUGUUGAAUGAAGCUUUAUGGUCAUAUCGGAUGGCUUGUCAUGGGUCGACCAAAGUUUCACCUUAUCAGUUGGUAUACAAGCAUGAUGCAGUACUACCAUGGAAAUUAAGACUGGAUCUAGGCAAUUAUCUUUCCAGGAUCAGUUGACUGCCGAUGAUUACGCUACUUUGAUGAGAGAUGAGUUAGAUGAUUUAGCAGGGCAUCGGCUCAAAGCUUUGGUAAGUAUAGAGGAAAAUAAAAAGAGAGUUGCUAAAUGGUAUGAUAAGAAGGUAAAGGUUAAGGAGUUUGCCGAUAGAGAUUUGGUAUGGAAACUAAUAUUACCGAUUGGCACUAAAAGUUCAAAGUUUGGCAAGUGGUCUCCCAAUUGGGAAGGUCCUUAUCGGAUAAGCCGGUCUGCUCCUGGUAAUGCCUAUAUUUUGGAAACUCUCGAAGGAGUUGAAUUUCCCACAGCAUUGAAUGGAAAAUAUUUAAAGAGAUAUUACCCAAGCAUAUGGAUCGAUGCAUAAAAGUUUAAGUGCCGAUAACACUCUUAUCGGCUGGAUUGAAAUGUAUCUGGGACUAAAGACGAUGUUUCAAAAGGGUGCCGAUAACAGUCCUAUCGGCUAGACCAAAAUAAUCAGCAGUUUUUGAAGAAAGAGCAAAACACGCCGCCGAUGAAAAGCUUAUACAUUUAGCAGAGCUUGGAUCGCCGAUAUAGCGCGCAGACGAAUUUGAUCGGCUUCUUCUAUCUCCUUGAUGUCUUCAUCGGCAGAGCCCUCCACUGGCUUCAGCUUCUUCUUCAUCUGCAAUGCCUUGCGAGCUUGAGUGUUUCGCUCUUGUUCGAGGGUCUUGAUCAUUUCAGGCAGUUGACUUUCUUCUUGUUGAGCUUGGGACAGAGCCUCUUCUACUUGCUUAAGCUCUGCCAACAGGGUUUCCCUUUUUACCAAUAGGUCGGAGAUCUUUAAUUUUGUUUCAGCGUAUCUCCGGAGGAUUUUAGAAUGCCGAUGCUCUUGUGUUUCUCAUCGGCAAGGUGCUUCACUUUCAUUACCUCCUCUGAGAGCUAGGCAUGAGUGGCUCUAUCGGCAAGGCGUUGGACAGCCUUUUGAUACUGAAGCUGGCUGCUUUCUAAGUGUGCAGCCUGAAAAAGACUCUCCUCGGCAUCGGCAGGGAUUUGGCCUCUGAGAGCCUUAAAUAAAACCUUGGCUGGAUCAGAGUCAUCAACUAGUUGAGUUGUGUCCUGAUGAAGCAGGGCCAACAGAUCUUCCAGCUUUGCUCUGAUUUCUAUGGAUGAAAUCCCAACUGCUUGUGAAGAGCUUGCUUCCUCGCCUUCAUUGUCAGAAAUUUCAAUGGCAAAGGAGAACAAGCUGUCGGGAGAGUCCUGUUCCUGAAAAGAAAAUAAAAUAAGUUAUUUGAUGAUCAAGUACUGGUGAAAAAUAGAAAUCAGAUGACUUACUUGUUUUAGGGCAAUUUCUCGCCUCUGGCUAGCUGAAGCCGAUGGUACCACGGGUUGAUCGGCUGGAGUUGCCAAUGGAAUGAUGUCAGCUGAAAAUUAUGUAAUAAUAAUGAGUGCUGCAAGUUAAAAAUCCGUCGGCAAAUAAUCUUAUGGACAGAACCUUACCUUGAGGGGGUGCAAUGCUUGUCUGGAUCGAAGAAACUACCGAUGCUAUGAUUGAACUCACUGGAUCGGUGGUCUGCUCAUGUACAUCGGCUAGUGUCUCUUCUAGCUGAGGUUCUUCUUAUGGCUGAGGUGGAGGCGGUGCUUGUUGUGUCUGAGUAUCUGGUGAAGAAGGGGACGAUUCCACAUGAAUCGGUGACCCUGGGGGAGGAGGAGGAGGUGCUACUGUCUUUUGACGUGUUGCUUGUGACUUAGUACUCUUGGGACCCUUUCUCUUUACUUGGCUGGACUGGGGGGCAUCGGCAGUUGUCUUGGUACUUCUAGUCUUUGCUGAUUUGCGAGUUUGCUGAUAUAACGAUAAAAGUUUCAUAAGUACAAGUGUAACAGAGUAUUGAUGGAAUUUUGGUUGAGACAGUGAAAGUUACCGAUGAAGUUCCCAUGGCGGCCGAUGUAUCCUGAAAAGGCCGUGUAAGUAUAGAAUGGAAUCGGUAUAAAUUGAAGAGAUAAAAACUUUCUACCUUGAAAACUUGCACCAAAGCAGCAGCAACAACCGAUGGAGAUGUCUUGGCCCGCUUGGUGGUAAUUUUCUUGAAACGCACACCCCGGUGCAUUAAGGCCGCUAAGCUUGGUGCAUUGUUGCCGAUCAAAGAAAUCGGGCCCGAUGGGAGGAUUUCGAUCGGCUUACCACUUCUACUGGCUGACGGUGGAGUAUCGUCAACCUGUAUAAAACAGAGGAAGUAAGUUGCCGAUAAGAACAAAAGUAAUAGGAUUGAGGUAUCGGUUGAAGACUUACAGUGUUCUCAGGGACCUUGUACGUGGAGUCGGUCAUACCGCGGUAUGUAAGAGCCGAUCUGCAGAACAAAUGCUCUUUCCACUCCGCCCACCAUUGUUUGUACGCCUGGGUGAUGAAGAGAGCUAGGAUCCAAGCCGAUAAGUCGAUAUCUGAUGUAUCAGCAUUUGGUGGGAGUUGAGCUAUUCUGAUCCACUCAAGACCACUGGUGAUGAUCUCCCUUGGUUUCACCACAUCGACGUAGCAGAGCGCAAUCGGUAGCUACCCGAAGGCCAAUUGACGGGCCAAUGCCGAUGGAUUGUAGAACUUGUAGGUGAGAUUUGAAGCUUUCUCACUACCGAAGAAGUUCACUGGUAUAGCCCUCAGAGUGAUAACUGCCAUCAUCAGAUCAUGGUCCUUGUUGAGAGUAUUAUCAAAGGGAUGAAAGGUCAGGGGAAAUCUGGUGUCUGGAUCCUCAUAAGGCAUCCAUGCCCGUUGUUCGUUGGCCAGACCCUCAUAAAGAGUCUGAAAGAAUCGGCUAACCUGAUCUUCAUUACCACCGGUACCCGGUAGAACUAUGGCAGCUUCACCAUAGUUUAGAGGGGAGCGAGUUGCCGACUCUUCCUCAUCCAGCUCAUGAUCUUCGGCUAUAUCUCUGGGGAAGCACUGUGCAAAAAGGUUGAAUUCAAGGCGCUUAUGCAUGUGGACACUAAGCCACAUGUUGAUGAACCACCAGGGUCCCCCUAAGUUACCGAUGGGUUGGCCUAGCAGGAGUUUCUUAGCUACCUAAUGGAGAAGGUGAUAAACAGAGCCAAACAAGUAUCGGCCAAGAGGAAAUCGGCCACCAUUGGCCAGUCUUUUCGCUGCCGAUAGAUAAAUAGAAGUUGGCCCCACCGAUCGGCCACAGAAUACAAACUUAUCCAACCACAUGUUCAAGAAAAUGGCCUGCUCUCUUUCCCCGACAGAUCCUGUUUUUCGGUACUUCUGAAUAUAUCCAGACCAACCGCCGAUAGCGCGAGUUUCUACCUUAGAACUGGGCUUGGUGUCAAACAGAUGACUGUUAUCGGCAGUUGAUAUGUCUAAGCCAGUGAGCAUGAGUAUAUCGGCAAGAGUAGGUGAAGCAGGGCCAUGGCUAAAUACAAAAGCAUUGAGUGUGUCUGACCAAAAGUAUGAGGCAGCUAUCAGCAGCGACUCAUUCCUCUCCAUAUCGGAAAUAGAUAAUCUGAUGCAUUGUUCUAAUUUCCGUUCACCCCAUUGGACUUCAUUUGAAUGGCUGACUCUCAGGAACCAGUCUUUCCAUCCUUUGGUGGGACUGGGCCAAGAACGGAAAGCAUCUUUCCACAGAUCUAAGGAGAAGUUUUCGGCUCUAAAAGGGAUCCUAUUUGUCUCUACGUUUAUCAGAUCGGUAGGAUCUGGGUUUCCCAAUGGACCAAGGCACUGGAAGUGAGGUUGAUCGGUAGGAAUAACAAUUUUAUCAGUCAACUCCUAAAGAAAUAGACGAUAAAAGAACAAAAAAGAAGGAAAAAGUACUCAGUAACCAGAUUUGCAGAUGAACAGGAGUACAGUAGAAGUAUAAAAGAAGGAUGGUAGGCUGACCUCAGAUACGAUGAAGUUGAUAGUCAUUUCUUCCCGAGGAAGAGGAGAGAUCGAAGACUUGGAAGAUUGGUGGAGGAAGCCCUUGCUCGAGUUCUUGGAGUUCUCAGGCAAUAUUGCCGCCAGGAACGUGGGUUUGAGGCUGUAGAAUGACAGGAUGGAGAAAGAGUACCGGAGAAGGAAGUAUUUAUAGGACAAAACGGGCAGGGGCAAAUCUGACUUAUCUCUUUGCCGCAUCCGUGAAAUCCGAGGGUGUUCAGAUGGAUAUGGUAACUGUUCGCAUGAUAAUCAAGGGAUUGCGUAGGUGAUUUGACAGCAAGCGGUCAUGAUUUUGAAGAUAUUUUACUGUGCAAGAUCGCCUGGUCGGUCUAUCGACAGUUUUCUCUAACGGUAAUAUUGCCGAUGAGCGCAUAAUUGGGGAGGUUCGGUUCGAGAGGUUGAGAAAUUCGAGGAAUCUGCAGGAGAAUCGGGCUAAGGUUGUUUAGAUUUGGCGGCUGGUUGCCAAAUUGGGAGAAGUAAUUGCGAAAGGCGUCAUUACUGCAGAGAAUUUUGGAGCAUUAAUGAUUUUAUACUCCGAAAUUGGGGGGCAUGUGUGUUGACGGUCCUUAAGUACCAAAUAUAAUCAUCAAAUAAAUAAAGAAAAGGAUCCAAAUGCAACCAACAUCUAGACUUAGGGUUUUAUCUGACAGAAUUCCACGAGUUUUGGUGUUUGUCUAUUUCUGCAGGGGGUUAUCAGGAAAUAAGGAAGAAAGGCCCACAUGUCAGGAUUACAUAGAGAUAUCAACGCACCGCGCAAUUUUCUACCAUCUAGAAGACUCCAGAAGCCACGAGACCGAAGCAGAGGCGAAACGGGGCCAGGACCUGGGCGCCUGCCCAGUUUCCUUGGGCGCCCGCCCACCUGCCGAGCCCAAUCAGGACUCUUUCUCUCGGGAGAUCUCCACCGACCUAUUGGAUCCAGAAUAACGUAGUACCACAUCGCCUACCAACCAAAAAACGCAUAGAGGAGGAGGACUAUAUAAGGAGACCCCCCUGGCCCCUGGAGAAGACAAGAAAUUAUCAUAGAGAUUGAGGGGUGCCCUCGAAGGAAAACCUCUUCUCUAAAUAAUAUUUCUUUUUAGGCUUAGCAACCAAUGUAAGGUAGAAAUAGAUCUUCUAGUUUCUACUAGAUUGAGAGAGAUAGAGUGGAGGUGUGGAUCAGAGGAAGGCCGGCCUAUCGGUGUCUACUCCGAGUUGUACCUGCGCGAUCAAGUCUCCUAACCCGAGGCUUGCUUCUAAGAUUCUUCAGUAAUUCGACUUCUAAUUCUAGUAAGUUCUUGUUUUAUUGUUCUUUGGUUUAUGAGUUUACUUUAAUCCUCUUCCGUUUGAGUAUUAGAGUAAUCACUUGCUAGCGUAAACGUGGUGUUUAGGCUAGGGUACUCAUAGAUAUCCCCUGACUAACUGGACCGUGGUAGUAGCGAGGAACGUGACAUUUCCGAGUUACCUUUGUAUCCUAUAUCUUGUUAGCAGGACGGGUAGGGUUUAUAGGUGGGGGUCGAACAUCCUUUGUGUUGUCUAGAUUCCGUGAGCCUCCCCAAUAGAACAGUAGAUCAUACUUACCAAGGUUAGAACGAGACUACGGUUGCAGUCUUCUCUAUACAUCACUCACAUCGAGAAACAUUCUUUGUAGCCUAAAGGGAUAGUAGCAAUAGAUUUGGUUAGUCCGAUGCACCCUUUCUCCCAGUGGUAAAAAUAUAAAUACGAUAACUCUGGAUAAUCUCCUGGGUGAAAUGCUCACCGAUAUCCGUGCGCUUGCGGAUCAUUUCCUGAUUGCGUUACCAAAUAUCAACAAGCAUUUCUGGCGCCGUUGCCGGGGAGAAAGACGGUUUGCUGAGAUAACUUUGAGUCUUGCUAUUAUCUUGUAUUAUACUUUUAUUCUUUUAUCUUUUUAUUUUUAUCUUUAUGGAUAACUCAAAUUCCAUACCUAUUAUUAAAUUCUUUGCACCUUCGAAGACCAGCCAUAGACCAUGGGAGUCAACACGUCCUGCCCCUAAUUAUGAUCUGUGUCCGGAGUUGAUUGCAAUAGGUCAAAACCAACCCUUUUCUAUAGCUGAGGUCCUAUCUUUUAAUCAAGAAGAUAAUGCACUUUUAGCUACACCUAGGGAAUCUGUUAAUCUUUCUAUAAAUUCUGGUUUAGACCUAGCCCUACAAGACCAUGUUUUUCCUAGAUAUUUUCACAUUGGUCUUAAUCAUAUAACAUUUGGUAGAGUCCUUCUUUCUUUAUCUAUUAGUAAAGGAAGGUUUAUCUUCAUUUGUGGACAUCCUUCUUGUACUAGUCUUCAUAGAAAAAUCUUAGAGAUAGAGAAGGAAUCAUCUCCCAGACGAGGAAAGGAAGUUUCAAUAGCCAAUUUCCAAAUAUUUCAAUCCCAUGAUUCGGCUAUCCAACCCAUCCUUGAGCUUAAUAAUUUCUACUAUGCUCUUUCUCUUGAACCUCCCGAUAAUCCUAUGAAUCUCUCUAGACAUCCCAUGCAUAAGAAGGAGGAUCGAGAAGAGCAACAUCGAUGGCUAGAGAGCAUUAAAAAUCCAUGUGCUAUCACCGUUGAAUGGAUAGAUAAAACAAACUUGAGAGACAAUCCUAGAGGAAUUUUAAGCAUUCAUGAAGAAUCAUCCUUGGAGUUUGAGAAUGAGAGAAACAACAGUGAGCAUGGAAGUUAUUUCAUAAAUACCUCACCCAGUCCUUGCUCAUAUCAAACAUCUCUCCAAUCAAUUUGUCUCUCCAUCCUUACCACAUUUGAGAUCUCCAAUCCCUUCUUCCUUUCUAUUUAUAAAAACUUUAAAAGGACGGUUGUCGAUGCAUAUGUCUAUAAUAAAUAUUGCAGAUCUCGUUGAGUUGAUCUUGAUAUAGGUAGGUGUUGGAGGGGCAACCACUUCGCCGACAUAAAUUGAUGGUUUCCCAAGGACAAGCUUAGUGUCCUAAAACAAUCACUUAUCAGAUCGUAACAUGAACUUCUAAUUAUUUGCAACAUUGCCUUGUGUAUUGAGCAUAUAAAGAUAAUUGUAGAAAUAUUCCUUCGGGUAUUUUUGUCACUAACCUUUCCAGGAUUGGAGCAAGAAGAUCGGAUGAAUGACAAGCGUAAGGUAUGCCCAACCAAUCAUCAUGCAACAUUGAAUUAAAUUCAUCCAAACUUGAAUUUUGCAAAAUUCAAGCUUGGGGGAGUACUUUACAUAAAAACAUCAUUUGCCAUGUUGCUAUGUUGGUUGUCCUUACCUUUGAGACAUGCUCAAUUUGUUAAAUACUAAUUACACUACUUCAUCUCCACUUAAGUAGAUCUCUAUAAAUGCUCUCAUGCUACCUUUAUUUGCUUUAGUAUAUGUCUAGGUUUGGAAUAGUUUCAUUUAUCUCUUAAUUAAGCAUGGUGCUUAGUUUAGGAAUGACGAUCUUACUUCCAAGGCAUUUUAAAUUAAGCAUGGUGCUUAGGUUAAAAUGCCCUUCUAAAUCAAAUUAGACAUGGUGUCUAGGUUGAUUUUUGAGCCGAUAGUAUGCUAUAGUAGAUAUGGGAUACUUUGUUGGACUAACCCCUAUAGGAAAACUUUCAAUAUCAACCUAGGAAGUCCUGAGAUAAACUCACAUUGGAGAUGAAGAAAGUGACACAUGAAGUUUAACAAUUUGCACAAGAAAGACGUAGCUCAAAAGAGAUGAUUCAUGGAGGGUGCCACAAACACGAUGCACAACCGCUAAGAAAGGAAAGCUUCCACAAGGUGAUACUGUACCGUCACUCUUCAAGUAAGGUAACAUUUUAAGGUACUUGACUAUCGCUUUUAUAAGUUUCUCCUUGGUUCUGGCAUUCACACAAAAUAAAGAGACAAACUUGUAUGAUCUGUAACUCCAAAUUAACCAACUCAAUUAAUUCAACAUGUUUAGUCCUUUAAUCUUUGUUCUUAGUACUACCUUUGUGACCACACACUCCUAAUCAUAUAAGCUAAAGUAUUGCACAUUCAAUCUUGGGAAGAUAUAAACAAAACAUAAAUAUAGAUAGAUUAUCUUUCCAUUAGGUUGAGCUGUCUGAUCUGACAAAAGCUACACUCAUGAUCCAUCAACUUUGUCUUGCUCACUAUGCUUAAGGUUAGAGAAGAAUAAAUACACUUUUGGUUCUGUUGGUGUUUUCCACCAACAGGGCCCAUGCACUUGAUCUCUGCCUUGUCUCCAUAAACAGGUACACUUCGAACAAAACCUAGAGGAGUUUUAGAACUCCAAGAUUCCACCAAGUGAAGAACCAGGAUCUAUGAGCACAAACACAAUGGAGAUCAGACACUUAGUUUCCCAAAGGAAAUAUUGAAGAACCUCUGUGUCCGAGUUGGUACCUUGUACGCUCCAGCAACUUCGUGGUGAUAGAGACUGGUACUGAGGAGAGGGCACCCAUCAUCCUAGGGAGGCCAUUCCUAAACACCAGAGCUAUCAUCUACGCUAAUGCUGCCAAGAUCAGUUCCUACAUUAAGGGGAAGAAGGAGACUUUCCUUCAAGAACAAGACUACACAAACUUCAGAGCAAUCCCGACAUAAACCAAGGAAGAGGACCUACAGGAGGAACAGGAACAAGCAAAUGUGGACCGAGUCAACUAAGAUGGUCACUGCAACUCAAGGAGGUCAAGAUCGACGACUCAAGUCACUUUUCUUGAUCAAGAAGGACGACCCUGGUGUUCCAAGCAUUGAGUGCACAAUCAAUAGAUACUCUUUUUAGAAGACACUCUAUGACACCGGAUCUGACGUCAACAUAAUGGCCACAGUCACUUAUCAGCUCCUGCAUCAGACCAUGCCUCUGCAACCAAUAUACAUUCAGCUCCAGAUGAUUUUCAGGUCAUUGACAUGGGAGAAGACGAGUACGAUCCACCCACCAUCCUUGGAAGACCGUUCCUCAACACUAUCAAAGCAAUCAUCUACAUUGGAACCGGAGAAGUCCACAUGCACUUCCCCUCUGAGAAGGUACGCCGCUAUUUUACUAACCUUUCUAUAUAGUUGAAGAUUCUAAGCAGGUCAGGACAAGAAGAAGACAACGCAACCGCAAUCAGAGGAGGCAAAUCAUCAAGGAUGGAUGGGAAGACUACGAAGGAGAAGUGAUAAGGGCUGAAGACAUGCAACUUGAAUAGAACUGUCCUAAGGAAACCAUAGCACCGAGUCAGAUAUGGAAAGAGAAGAUAGUUAUAGCCACCAGAACCACCGACUAUGCCAUCCAGCGAAUCCCAGGAUGACCGAGAAAACGGAGAGUCCCGGUCGGAGGACUUAAAAACACCGAACGCCUUGCCAAGAGGUAAACUUGGUAGUUAUCCUUUUUCAUUCAAUAGUUUGCUUAGUUAAUCAGGUUCAUGCUAUCUUGAAAAGAAAAUAAAAAAAUAGUAAGCCCCAUGUGAGUAUGCUCAUGGCAUAAAACCCAUAAGUACAUUCACUGUGGUGGCAUAAAAAUAAAAUAAAUAUGUUUUCAUCUUACAAUAAAAAUAUAAAAAUAAUAAGUGCAUGAUCCUGCUAAAUAAGUAAUAUUUAUUGUGGAGGCUCAACAUGAUAAAGGCUAGAUACUUAUGCUAACACUUAACCAGUUCUACAAAGCUUUGUUGUCUAUUUGAGCUCCACAAAAUUCAAUGAUCAAAGAAGACUAGCAGACGGAGGACAUCCUAAUCGCUGUCAGGGUGCUACCGACAUUCAAAUACACCUCCAUCACCUGCUAGCUACAUGAGAAGAAAUUACGUCAAAAUCCAGCUUGGGGGAGAGCACCCCCAUUUAUCCAGCUAAGUGUUUCUACUCGCGUUUAUACUUUACUCAAAUAAUAAAAAGAUGCAUAAUCAUAAAAAAACCCAAAUAAAGAUUUUGUGCUUUUAUAUAUAUCUUUGCUUAGUUUGCGAAAUAAAUAAAUAAAUAAAGUUUGCUAUGAACCCUCAUGAUAAACUCUCACAUGGAAAUGAUGAAUAGUUGCUCUGCCAUGACUAGUUCUUAAAAUUGAAAUCUCUCUCAAGUUUAGGCAUGACUAUUAUGAAGUAAGAUUUGCUCUAAUCUGAACUUGUGGGAAGAGUACUUGAUCUAAAGUCUAAGUCGUUAACGGAUAUGAUAUGGGAAGGUUGAGCUGCUAUUUAUCUAUUCCUAGAGAUGCUAAAAUUCUAGAGAAUUUUAUCUUUGAAAAUCUUUAAAAUAUCACAUGAUGAGUUCCUAUAUGAUGAGAGUUUAAAUUCCUACCACAGCCAUAUAUACAUGCUUGCUAGACUUUGAGCCACACAUUUACUUUUUACUGCUUAUAAGCAUUGAGUGUGGUCAAGCUGUGUAGACCCUAAGGAGCUUGUCAUGCGGUUAGAAUCAAGAUUCACUUGCACGUUCACUCACACAUGCUGCUUCUACUCCGGAAGUACGCAUCCACAUACAUCCACUCAUUUCCAUCUCCAGAUUCACCCAAAAUUAUUCUACUCCUAAUCCGGGAGAGAAUAGCCAAAAACAUUUUCCUAUCCCUAUUAUUCCCUGUGAAAUAAAUGCUCAAGUUAUCUUGGUUACUACCACUUGCUAUAUUAUUUCAGGAGAUGAGUGCUCUAAAAAAAAGAAAGAAGGAAAAAAAUACGAGGAAAUAAAAAGGGGCAAGUGCCCGGAACCUCGAAGAAAAAGAAAAAAGUGAGACGAGAGGUAAAAAUGGACAAGUGUCCGACAGUAGAAUUAGGGGUACAAGAUACCCACCUGAGAGAAAAGAAAAAGAAAAUAUAGAGCAUAUCAUUCUCCCCAAAAAGCUUCAAAGUGCAAGAAAGGUAUGUAUCCCCUCAAAAGAGUAAAAGUAGAAUUAGACUUUCACCAUCAUUAUCACCAUCAUCACCAUACACCAUUCAUUCGCCACACAUGCACAUCUUGAUUUGACUUAUUGACUUGUUUCUCUGGAUCCAUGGUUUGACUGUGCAAUAAAUGUCUUGUAAGUAUGUAUUAGCUGUCUCCCACCUAUGAGCUCCAGAUAUCAAAACCUUAUUAGAGUAGGGUGAGAGAGAAGGUAAUAUCACUAUGCCUCAUACCAAAAAUACCACAUACUUUGAGAGAAGGCAUAUACCACUACUGCCUUGGUAAGGAUCCAGAAAUACCACAAAAGAGAGAUUUGAGAGAGUCAUAUAAGGAAUCUCUGAGUUUUAUUUGAAAAUAUGCAAAAACCCCAGAGCUAUAGCUGAUCAAAGAAUAAGAGACAUGGAGCUUAACUUGACCAUUCUAUCUUUUAACUGCUCAAGACACAAGUGACGGUUACAAGCCCCAUGGUGAAAGAUAAAAUGAGUAAGUUUUAAGUCUUAACAGUUUAUUCUAACUC